rnacentral:rRNA from 1 species
AUUGCUUCUCCACCGGUCGAGGACAACCGACCCCUCGCGUCAGAGGCUAAACGACGUCCCGGUGUUACCUCCCUGGAGGCACACGUUAAAGAUCGUUCCGCAUUGUGAGUCUUGACACCAGCUGUACAAUUUUUUACAACCGGUGGCGUUGGAUCCCUUGGCACGUCAUUCGAUGAAGACCGUUGCAAAUUGCGAUAAAGUGAUGUGAUGCGCAAGUCCACCACUUAUACGUGAAUCAUCGAGUUGUUGAACGCACUGCACCGCGCCCUAACCCGGCUGCGGUAUGCCCCUUUGAGCGUCAUUGCUACCCUUCGGGAGCCUUUCCUUGGGAAGACCCGAGUUCGGAGUCCUCGGUCCUCGGACCGUGUUCUCUCAGAUCCAUCGCGCCGAUCGUCCGGUAAGGUCCUCUAAUGCCUGAGCGUGGAGAGAGCCUCUGGAGUUUUGAGCGGCGUUUGACUGCGUGGCGAGCGCUGGUCACCAAGUCCGCACGGCCUAGCCGUCGGUGCUACAACUCAUGACCUCAUUGGGGUAGGACAACCCGCUAGACUUAAGCAUAUUAAUCAGCGGAGGAAAAGAAACUAACCAGGAUCCCCUCAGUAACUGCGA